GAUGAACGCUGGCGGCGUGCCUAAUACAUGCAAGUCGAGCGAACAGACGAGGAGCUUGCUCCUCUGACGUUAGCGGCGGACGGGUGAGUAACACGUGGAUAACCUACCUAUAAGACUGGGAUAACUUCGGGAAACCGGAGCUAAUACCGGAUAAUAUAUUGAACCGCAUGGUACAAUAGUGAAAGACGGUUUUGCUGUCACUUAUAGAUGGAUCCGCGCCGCAUUAGCUAGUUGGUAAGGUAACGGCUUACCAAGGCAACGAUGCGUAGCCGACCUGAGAGGGUGAUCGCCCAACUGGGAACUGAGACACGGUCCGGCCUCCUAGGGGAGGCAGCAGUAGGGAACCUUCGGCAAGGGGCGAAGCUUGACGGAGCAACGCCGCGUGAGUGAUGAAGGUCUUCGGAUCGUAAAACUCUGUUAUUAGGGAAGAACAAAUGUGUAAGUAACUAUGCACGUCUUGACGGUACCUAAUCAGAAAGCCACGGCUAACUACGUG
rnacentral:rRNA from 1 species